GACACCCGGAUACAGCUGGGUGUGCUCAUGGCCAUCGGCUCCUGCAGCUGGAUAGACGUCAGUAGUGAGCCAGGAUACUACUUUACCUCCAGGUAGCUGAAACAAUGAAACAGUCUAGACCACAGGCUGCAGUUCACAGUGAUAUAACGGAAGAUGACUCCAGUCAGCUUGAACAGGACUCCCAGCUGCUCCUGCUGUUAACGUGUGUUGUGAAAACGUCAGCAGCGCGCAGCCCUUCAUUUCCCGCAUUUUGCUGAGGACCCCCAUAAACGCCUGACUAAGACUUGUCACUCAACCACACAGACAAAGAAUAAAUGUAACGUACAGA